rnacentral:lncRNA from 1 species
GUUUGAGCACCAAUGCCAGAGAUAAGCAACCAGGAAUGGGCCCUUGGAAGGGGAAUUUUCCAGACCCAGAUGCUAGGGAUUAAACAGAAAGCUGGUAGGAAACCCAAGAGAAGAAUUCGUUCGGAGAAUUGUCUGGAACCAAGCCUGAGAGUCAGAAUUUCAAAGCUGGGAAGGCUGGACUUCAUCGUACUAGUCCAACAAGCAAUUCCACUGGGUCAAACCAGUCUUCAGUGCUCCCUGGAUGGCGUGUCCUUACGUUAUCGAUCGAGGGAAUGCAGUUUCCGAGUCGCCCACCAGGUGGUGCUAUGUACGAGUCUCCGGCAUCUCUUGCACCAAAUCCCCGGACUCCGGUGCACCACCUCCCCCGGACAUUAUUGUCAUGGAUCCCAACCCGGUUGCAAACUGGUCUCCCCACUCCAGGCCAUCCUCAAUUCUGCAGCCAAAGAAAUCUUCCUUAUCUGCAGGUCUGGCACGUGACAUCCCUUCCGGCAGCCCCAGUGCUUUCUUAAUGCCGUGAAGACAAAAUUAUGCCCUUACCCAGGUACUCGUCUCCUGCACGAGCCUGUACGUUGCUUGAGUGUAGAAAUGGUUCCAUUCUUUGUACUUCAUGCAUACUUGUGCCCGAUUGACUGUCUGCUUGAAUAAGAUGUUCGCCAGCUUAGCUCUGCACCUGUUCUGGCCUUCCACUGAGCUGGGCCAGCAAAUGCAGCCCGCUCACCGCGCUCUUUGCAGCCAACGACCCUGAUCUCCCAGCUCCAGCCCUUCUGGGUCAUCUGCACCAAGACUGCUUCCUCUUAGCUGCCGACACUCAUACUGGAGGGAGGGUUUCUUUCUGGGCCCGACACCGAAACUGCUGCUGUGGUUUCAGUGUGCCCUAUGUGGGCAGCCCGACAUUGGAUGUGGCUAACCGAGCAUUAACAGGAGCUCUACCUCAGAACACUGGUGGUUCCCUGCCAACAGGGCGUAGUGGAGACCCGCCUGAAUGCUGCAUCAAGAAAACCCAGGUUCAGAUUCUGCUGGCUGUGUGACCUGGGGAAAACCCCUGAACCUCUCGGAUUCGAUUUCCUCAUCCUGUAAAAUGGGGAAUAAUAAAAGUGCCUGACUCACAGAGUUGUUGUGAAGA